GCUUCAUUUCUCUCCAUGGAAGAGGAGGGAAGCUUUCUCUAUAGAUCUUCGCUGGUCUCUGCUUCCUCUCUCUCUCUCUAAAUCCUAACUCGAAACUUUGAAUAUCGUAGCGUUCGUAUUUAAAGAGUGAAUUUUUCUCUGCUUUGAUUCGAUUUGAUGUCUGUGGUACAUCUGGUUUUGUUCUCCGGUUUACUGAGCCUUGUAAUUGCCGUGUCUUCUUCUCCGGGCUCGCGCUCGAUUCUCCGGGAUAUCGGCGGUGGAAACGCCGAUCAAAAAGAUAAAGCUGUCGAAUUGAACACUACCAACUUCGAUUCAGUUCUUCGCGACACUCCCGCCAAGUAUGCCGUCGUCGAGUUCUUCGCUCACUGGUGUCCUGCCUGCAGAAACUACAAGCCUCAUUAUGAGAAGGUCGCAAGACUCUUCAAUGGACCAGACGCAAUACAUCCUGGAAUGGUUUUGAUGACGAGAGUUGAUUGUGCAAUGAAGACGAAUACCAAGCUCUGUGACAAGUUCUCCAUUUCUCAUUAUCCAAUGCUCUUUUGGGGUCCUCCUUCAAAGUUUGUCUCUGGCAGUUGGGAACCUAAAAAGGAGAAAAGUGAGAUACUCGUAAUCGACGACGGCCGCACAGCUGACCGUUUACUCGACUGGAUAAACAAGCAGAUAGGCAGUUCUUAUCGCUUGGAUGAUAAGAAAUUCGAAAAUGAACAUGUCCUGUCAAAUAUAACCAACUACGAACAGAUUUCUCAGGCUGUGUAUGACAUUGAGGAAGCAACCGCAGAAGCUUUUGAUAUAAUAUUAUCACAUAAGGCCAUUAAAUCAUCUGAAACAAGUGCUUCAUUUGUUAGAUUUAUCCAGCUCCUAGCAGCACAUCACCUAUCCAGGAGGUGUCGGAAAGGAGCUGCAGAAAUUCUAGUGAACUAUGAUGACAUAUGCCCUUCUGGAAAAUGCUCUUACGAAGAAUCUGGCGGGAAAGAUACUCUGGGAAACUUCCCUAUUUGUGGAAAGGAUGUUCCGCGUGGAUAUUACAUGUUUUGCCGUGGCAGCAAGAACGAUACUCGCGGAUUCAGCUGCGGAUUAUGGGUUCUAUUUCAUUCACUUUCCGUGAAGAUUGAGGAUGGAGAAAGUCAUUUUGCAUUCACGACAAUAUGUGAUUUCGUCAACAACUUCUUCAUGUGUGAUGAAUGCCGUCUGCAUUUCAACGACAUGUGCUUGAGCGUCAAAACUCCUUUCAAAAAGGCACGUGAUUUCGUCUUGUGGGUGUGGAGCACGCACAACAAGGUCAACGAGAGACUCAUGAAGGACGAAGCUUCUCUCAGUACAGGUGACCCCAAGUUCCCCAAGAUCAUAUGGCCACCAAAAGAGCUUUGCCCAUCGUGCUAUCUCUCGAGUGACCAGAAAAAAAUAGAGUGGGACCACGACCAUGUCUACAAGUUCUUAAAGAACUACUAUGGGCCCAAGCUCGUCUCGGUUUACAAGGAAAAGAGUGUCAUCGGAAGCAAGGAAGAGACGAACAUAGCUACGGAAGACUUGACAGUUGCCACCAACGCUCUGGUUGUGCCGAUUGGAGCUGCAUUGGCAAUAGCUAUCGCCAGCUGUGCAUUUGGGGCGCUUGCCUGUUACUGGAGGACUCAGCAGAAGAACCGCAAGCCGAGGAGAAGCUGGAAUUGAGCAUCUAGAAGCUCUUAAUGUUUUCAUAAUUUACAGACAACAAACACAGAGGCUCUUGUUUGGAGUUGAGAUCCCAAAGUUGCCAGCUUCAGAUCUUGAAAACACCUGGUGGUGCGAUGAGAAUCGAGAAAUAAGCUUUGCAAAAGAGAUACUUUUUUUCUUUUCAAUCUCUUAAUCCAAUCCAACAUUUUACAUGUAUAAGUGAGAGAGUAUAUUAUUUACAGUGACAUUGACUUUCGUGUGUGUGAAAGGAAAGAACAGUGCUCAUGGCACGCCUAUAAUGUAAGAUUGCGUUUGAGGCAA